UGUCCUAUAGUAGCCCAGCUCCUGAUAUCUUAAUAAUCUUUCCCUCCCAUCUAUAUCUGGGGCACUGCAGAAGGUCCGGACACCUUGGUAACCUCUCCCUCCAGUCCGUCUACCUGGGGCACUGCAGAAGGUCCUGACACCUUGGUAACCUCUCCCUCCAGUCCGUCUACCUGGGGCACUGCAGAAGGUCCGGACACCUUGGUAACCUCUCCCUCCAGUACGUCUACCUGGGGCACUGCAGAAGGUCCUGACGCCUUGGUAACCUCUCCCUCCAGUCCGUCUACCUGGGGCACUGCAGAAGGUCCUGACGCCUUGGUAACCUCUCCCUCCAGUCCGUCCACCUGGGGCACUGCAGAAGGUCCGGACACCUUGGUAACCUCUCCCUCC